rnacentral:snoRNA from 10 species
GAGCAGAUGAUGUUAAAUACUAGUUGAUCACUGAGAUCUUGAUCUUUGAUGUCUAAAAAAAUCGAGCUUUUUAAAACUGAUGCUUA